rnacentral:rRNA from 1 species
AGAAUUUUAUAUUAACUUUACCUAGCGGUUAAUGCUGGUUUUUUGUUAAUAUUUGGUUGGGAGGAUUAUUAAAUUUAACAAACUUUAUAUCAUUAUAAACUUUGAUUUAAGAAAAUAUAAUGAUCUUCAAUUUGAAAUAGUUAGAGUAAAUUACCUUAGGGAUAACAGCGUAAUAUUUUUUUAUAGACCUUAUAGAAAAAAAUGGUUGCGACCUCGAUGUUGAAUUAAGAUAAAUUUUAAAUGCAGGAGUUUAAUAAUUAAG